AGAAAGUUGAGCGUUUUUAAAAAACAAUAGUAUGUUCAAUUGCUCUAUAAUAAUAAAAGAAAUGAAACAACAGUAAGAUUGUCCAUAGAAAAACUUUUUACACAAUUAGUCGCAUCGCCAUUUUUAUAAUGAUUAAAAACUAUUAUAUUUGACUAUCGGGUUUUGAUUUCGGUACAAAGAAUGCCUAUAAACAAGCUUCUCGCAAAAUUAAUAAAGUAAGGAACCAAAUACCUUUGCAUUCGAGCAUUCAUUUUUUAAUAAUGGUUAAACUUGAGCUCAUUAGAUAAACAAGGUCAAUUAAAAAAGAUUGAGUCUCCAGCCAACUUUCAGAACGCGAUAACCCAUAACCCAUUCUAGAAGCACAUGUUGGUAUUUGGUUUUUUCGCUUGUUAAUUUUGAAUGACAAUGGAGAAGUCAUGUACUCCAUUUCUGGAUAAAUUUUCUGCAGGCUCUAAAGGUUGAUUAACAGUAGCCAAUCCAAAAUGUUGCUAAUUUGGUUCAAUUUUGAAUUGCAAAUCGGUGGUGCCAACAUGCCUUAAAAAGUUCCAUUUAAAUUUAAACUUUGAAAAAAUGAAUAAAGAAAACAAAAAACCAUACAUGCUUUGACCCAUAUCUCUAGUGCUUCUUAAUACUCUAUGUGAAAGCUCCCUUGAUAAUUGUCGAUCUCAAUUAGAUGGUGCGAUAAAUUCACCAGACUACAAACUCAAAAUUUGAUUGCAGAAUACCUACUGUACAUUAGAUAUAUUUUUUGAACGAAGCCUUUAAUCCUAUCCCUUCAUACCAUAAACAAAAAAACAAAGCCCAAUAUAACAUGCCAGGGAUUCAAUAUUACCAAUGAUGCCUCUAGUGAAUGAGAAUGAAAUUUCAGAUCCAUAUACUGUGCACAAAAGAUUCAACAAAUACACUUUGAAUGUAACUAAUAUUGUAGCCACCAUACCGGGUUGCGAAAUUUUCAAUGUGGAAUAGGCCAUACCGAAGACAAAAUCUCUGUAUAUAUUUACGAUUUUUCAAUUGUAUUUCUUGCUUUUAAUCUUGCUUUAUUAUUUAUUAUUUGAAGUGUGAAAGGACAAGAUGUAAAUAUAUUAACAAUUGCAUAUUCGCCUCUUAUAGAAUUAUGACGGAAAUUACCUACUUGCCGAACGAAUGUGAAAAUAAAUAAAAGUUCUUUAGCAUCUUUGGAAAAAAGAGAUUAAUUUCGUUUAGUUAAAGCAUUACCAUAUAAACGGCUUUGUACGAUGUGCAUGAGCAAAGUCCAUAGAUAUCAAACAAAUGAGAGUUAACCCGUUCAAAAUAAAUAGUAUCUUUUCAACAAGAUUCC